CAGGUGGAAGCCUAGUGGUUUGGCGCUUACUUUGGGAGUAAGAUCGUGCAGGUUCGAACCCUGUUCACCUGA